rnacentral:rRNA from 1 species
CCCUUAGAUGUUCUGGGCCGCACACGCGCUACACUGAAGGAGGCAGCGUGUACUCCUGGAUCGAAAGAUUUGGGUAACCCGCGAAUCUCCUUCGUGCUAGGGAUUGAGGUUUGCAAUUAUCCUUCAUGAACGAGGAAUUCCCAGUAAGUGCAAGUCAUAAGCUUGCGCUGACUACGUCCCUGCCCUUUGUACACACCGCCCGUCGCACCUACUGAUUGGAUGACUCGGUGAAAAAUUGGGACUGUGAAGAACACUGCUUAAUUGCGGCGUUUUUUAUGGGAACUUUUUUAAACCUCGUUAUCUAGAAGAAGGUGAAGUCGUAACA